UGGAAAGGCCCCCUUAAGGGUUAGGUUAGUCAAUCCGGCCCGAGACGCGUUCGUUGACAAAACCGCCGUAGGAAUAGAGACCUUUCAAUAGAGCGGAGGCGAACUGAUCAACGAGAAAGAGGCCCUACUCACUNAACGAAUACACCACAAGAUCGAACUGCACUCAUGCCUCUCCCGCAUCAAGUUGACCACCCCCCCCUAUGUAGUGAUUCUAUCAAUCAUGUACGUAGGUAGGCCCC
rnacentral:misc_RNA from 1 species